GAUGAACGCUGGCGGCGUGCCUAAUACAUGCAAGUCGAGCGAAUGGAUUAAGAGCUUGCUCUUAUGAAGUUAGCGGCGGACGGGUGAGUAACACGUGGGUAACCUGCCCAUAAGACUGGGAUAACUCCGGGAAACCGGGGCUAAUACCGGAUAACAUUUUGAACCGCAUGGUUCGAAAUUGAAAGGCGGCUUCGGCUGUCACUUAUGGAUGGACCCGCGUCGCAUUAGCUAGUUGGUGAGGUAACGGCUCACCAAGGCAACGAUGCGUAGCCGCCCUGAGAGGGUGAUCGGCCACACUGGGACUGGGACACGGCCCAGACUCCUACGGGAGGCAGCAGUAGGGAAUCUUCCGCAAUGGACGAAAGUCUGACGGAGCAACGCCGCGUGAGUGAUGAAGGCUUUCGGGUCGUAAAACUCUGUUGUUAGGGAAGAACAAGUGCUAGUUGAAUAAGCUGGCACCUUGACGGUACCUAACCAGAAAGCCACGGCUAACUACGUGCAGCCGCCGUAAUAC
rnacentral:rRNA from 1 species